rnacentral:rRNA from 1 species
ACGGGAGGCAGCAGUGGGGAAUAUUGGGCAAUGGGCGAAAGCCUGACCCAGCAACGCCGCGUGAAGGAAGAAGGUCUUCGGAUUGUAAACUUCUUUUAUGAGGGACGAAGGACGUGACGGUACCUCAUGAAUAAGCCACGGCUAACUACGUGCCAGCAGCCGCGGUAAUACGUAGGUGGCAAGCGUUAUCCGGAUUUACUGGGUGUAAAGGGCGCGUAGGCGGGGAUGCAAGUCAGAUGUGAAAUCCAUGGGCUUAACUCAUGAACUGCAUUUGAAACUGUAUCUCUUGAGUGCCGGAGAGGUAGAUGGAAUUCCUUGUGUAGCGGUGAAAUGCGUAGAUAUAAGGAAGAACACCAGUGGCGAAGGCGAUCUACUGGACAGUAACUGACGCUGAGGCGCGAAAGCGUGGGGAGCAAACAGGAUUAGAUACCCUGGUA